rnacentral:rRNA from 1 species
CCCUACGGGGCGCAGCAGCCGCGAACACUUCGCAAUGUGGGAAACCACGACGAGGGAAUUCCAAGUGCAAGUACUAAGUACGUGCUGUUUUUCUGUGUAAAAAGCAGGGAGAGUAAGGGCUGGGUAAGACGGGUGCCAGCCGCCGCGGUAAUACCCGCAGCCCAAGUGGUGCUCGUUAUUAUUGGGCCUAAAACGUCCGUAGCCGGCCUGUGUAAAUCCAUGUGGAAAUCGGAGGGCUCUAACCCACCGAAGGGCGUGUGAGCAC